rnacentral:rRNA from 1 species
GAAACGGUUGCUAAGACUGGAUAGGAAACAAAAAGGCAUCUUUUUGUUUUUAAAAGACCUUCUUACGAAGGUAUGCUUAAAGAGGGGCUUGCGCCACAUUAGUUAGUUGGUAGAGUAAAAGCCUACCAAGACGAUGAUGUGUAGCUGGACUGAGAGGUUGAACAGCCACAUUGGGACUGAGACACGGCCCAAACUCCUACGGGAGGCAGCAGUAGGGAAUUUUCGGCAAUGGAGGAAACUCUGACCGAGCAACGCCGCGUGAACGAUGAAGUAUUUCGGUAUGUAAAGUUCUUUUAUUGAAGAAGAAAAAGUAGUGGAAAAACUAUAUUGACGUUAUUCAAUGAAUAAGCCCCGGCUAACUAUGUGCCAGCAGCCGCGGUAAGACAUAGGGGGCGAGCGUUAUCCGGAAUUAUUGGGCGUAAAGGGUGCGUAGGCUGUUAGAUAAGUCUAUAAUUUAAUUUCAGUGCUUAACGCUGUCUUGUUAUAGAAACUGUCUUGACUAGAGUGAGAUAGAGGCAAGCGGAAUUCCAUGUGUAGCGGUAAAAUGUGUAAAUAUAUGGAGGAACACCAGAAGCGUAGGCGGCUUGCUGGGUCUUUACUGACGCUGAGGCACGAAAGCGUGGGUAGCAAACAGGAUUAGAUACCCUGGUAGUCCACGCCGUAAACGAUGAGUACUAAGUGUCGGGGUAAAACUCGGUACUGAAGUUAACACAUUAAGUACUCCGCCUGAGUAGUACGUACGCAAGUAUGAAACUUAAAGGAAUUGACGGGACUCCGCACAAGCGGUGGAUCAUGUUGUUUAAUUCGAAGAUACACGAAAAAUCUUACCAGGUCUUGACAUACUCUGCAAAGCUAUAGAAAUAUAGUGGAGGUUAUCAGGGAUACAGGUGGUGCAUGGUUGUCGUCAGUUCGUGUCGUGAGAUGUUAGGUUAAGUCCUAAAACGAGCGCAACCCUUGUCGUUAAUUGCCAGCACGUAAUGGUGGGGACUUUAACGAGACUGCCAAUUAAACAUUGGAGGAAGGUGAGGAUUACGUCAAAUCAUCAUGCCCCUUAUGAUCUGGGCUACAAACGUGAUACAAUGGCUGUGACAAAGAGUAGCUGAAACGCGAGUUUUUAGCCAAUCUCAAAAAAGCAGUCUCAGUUCGGAUUGAAGUCUGUAACUCGACUUCAUGAAGUUGGAAUCGCUAGUAAUCGCGAAUCAGCAUGUCGCGGUGAAUACGUUCUCGGGGUUUGUACACACCGCCCGUCA